UUCAGCCAAUUAAGGCGAACCAAUCAUGGCUUCUUGUGGCUCCGAACACUCAGAUGGAAGGCGUUCGGGAGAUUUUAGAGUGUUGAUUCUUCAGGGAAACCUGCUCUGCGAGUGGAAAUGGCGAAAACGUCGGUACAGUUCAGAUCACGAGGGCUUAGAUUUAUGGCGGAGACCUAACAUUUGGUGCAAGACUCCGAUUCAACCACAGAAAUGUUACAAAGCAAGCUUGUUGUAGAUUUAUUAAUCCGUUUUAUGUACGAUAAGGCACAUUUCGUAGCUUGUUGGAUUAUACUUUUCAGGAGGUGUUCAGAAUCUACUUGGUUUGACACUUUCCCCUUGCUGUUGCCUCGAUAAUUUCUUUUGAAGUGGAUCAACUAUCUGUUUGGCUCAUUCAAAUCCCUAGAAAUUGAGGUUAGAUUGUUUUUGGUGCUUGCUCUACCUCUAUUACUUCAUCUGAGAGUUUCAAGGAUAAACGAAGAAAUAGACAGAUUUAGAUUGAGCCUCAUACUCUGGAUGAUACUCUGAUAAAGAUCUUGAAAUAAGUUAUGAUUUCAAUCCAUUAGGAGAUUAGAUUUCUUAUUAUUUUUACAUAGUUUCUUUUUGCCCGUUCCAGUUCACUUGUUCAUGUGCUAUAACCAUUUAGAGGCGUUGUAACGCAGUUUUUCUUCUCAUUAUUUGUUUAUCAUUGAUAUCGACUUUUCAAUAAAGAUCCCGUUUGAACUGCUCAGCCGAUGCCUUGGAAUUUUGCCGGACAGAGGAUACCAACACCACAAUUUGUAUAUUAUAUCAGUGUCAGCACACCGGACUGCUUCUUCCCGGUACUGCUAUGUUUUAAAUGAAAAUUCUCCUAGAAUUUCCUUUCAAGGGGUCAGUACGUAGCCAUGGUUUUGGAUAUGCAUUUGAAUACUUGGAUAUGGGGUUAUGCCCUCUGAUUUUAUCCUGUUUUGUGGGUGAUAUUCUGAUGCUAUCUUGCCUGUUAGUUGUUUUUCUACCUUGAACUUGUCUCCUAAUUCAUAAUAGUUUUCAUUAAAUGUCAAAGCUCCUAAUACCAUCUUGACAUAUCCAUAGUGUUCGUCUCAAUUUUGCUGAUGAUCUUACAUUUUUGUAGAUAGUGAAGAUGGGAUCUGAUGGUUCGCUGAGGCAUUAAAGGUUAUGAUCAAGUGGGUCAUAGAUAAUCUUCCAUGAAAUGAUGGAGGAUUAUUGGGCGGGAGUUUCACAUUAGCUAAUUUAGGGAAUGAUCAUGGGUUUAUAAAUAAGGAAUACAUCCCUAUUGAUAUGAGGCAUUUUGGGAAGCCCAAAGCAAAAUCAUGAGAGCUUAUGCUCAAAGUUGGACAAUAUCAUUUCAUUGUGGAGAGUCGUGAUUUCUAACAUGAUGCAUCUCUCAAAAUUCUGGUCGAAUGCAUUGUGAUACCAAGAAUUUUUAGCCUGAAUACUGUUCGGGCGCCAAACUUCUAGUUGGACCCCAAGUUUCAGGUGCCAAGAAUGUCUGGCCAUUUCCCGGCACCAUCCUAUUUGGUAUCCAUUAGGAAGUGAAAUCAAGGAGUCAUCCAUUGGAAGUGGAACAACUCUAUCUCUCUGUUCAAUUACAACUCUAAUUGCAGGGUGCUUUGGAAGAAACCAUAUUCUGGGCAGGCGAGAAUCAGAAGCUUUCCCAACGCCAUGGCUAUAUACACCAAAGUUUCGGUUGGUUUGGUUCUUGUACUCUCUGCCUUUUCUGUUAACAUUGCAUUGGAAUCUCAUCUUUGGAGGGCUAAAUCAAACCACACUCGUUCUAACAUGCUUGUAUUUCAUACGUGUCAUGUUGGCUUAGCACAGAAAUGACAAUUUAGCUCAUCAUCUGUUCAUGCAUCACAGGGCCAACAGAUAAUGAUUCCUCGUUGCAUUCAUGAAGAGAAGAGGUAUUAAUGUAUCGACUAAUUAAGUCGUGUUUAGGUCUGCAUGCAAGGCUGUUAUCGGAACCAUCGGCUCAUCUAUGAUAAAUCUCUUUGUGUGGUUUGUGUGGU